AUGGAAAACAAGCGUCCCGUAAAGGACAAAAUCGCUUACCUCGUCAGCCGGACGCUGCGAGCUGAAUCCGCGAUCUUAUGUAGCGGAUGCGGGAGCCUCGGCGCCCUUGAACAGCACCUUCCAGCCAUCUUCGUACGUAGUGUCGAAGAGCCCGCUCAAAGUCUGGUGUUGCGCCGGAUCGAACUCCCACAUGUUGAAGCCCCGUCGUUGGCACGGGAGGAUCCGGUGGAUGAGCAUGACCUGGACCACGUUGACAAGCUUGAGCUUCUUGUCCACCAGCUUUUGGAUGCAGGCUUGGAGUCCGGUCAGCUCCUCCGAAUCACCCCAAGUCCGACCGCUCUCUUUCCAGGAGGUGAGCCGUGUGGGGAUGCCAGAUCUGAAUUUGGGGGUCGCUGCCCAUUCAGGGUCACGCGGCUCGGUGAUGUAGAACCACCCCGAUUGCCACCCCUUGAUGGUUUCCAUGAAAGUGCCCUCAAGCCAAGUAAUGUUGGACAUCCUGUCCACCUUGGCGCCUCCGCACUCCGCUUGGCUGCCCUUCACAACCUUCGGCUUGACACUGAAGGUCUUGAGCCACAAGCCGAAGUGGGGCUAGAUGCAGAGGAAGGCCUCACACACGACGAUAAACGCCAAGAUGUUGAGGAUGAAAUUCGGGGCCAGAUCGUGGAAAUCCAGGCCGUAGUAGAACAUGAGCCCCCGGACAAAGGGAUGGAGUGGGAAGCCCAGUCCGCGGAGGAAAUGGGUAAGAAAUACUACCCUCUCAUGGGUCCUGGGGGUGGGGAUGAGCUCUCCCUCGUCGGGGAGCCGAUGCGCGAUGUUGCUGGACAAAUAUCCGGCGCUGCGUAG
rnacentral:rRNA from 1 species